rnacentral:rRNA from 1 species
UGGGGAAUCUUCCGCAAUGGACGAAAGUCUGACGGAGCAACGCCGCGUGAGUGAAGACGGCCUUCGGGUUGUAAAGCUCUGUGAUCCGGGACGAAAGAGCCUGAGGUAAAUAGCCUAAGGAAGUGACGGUGCCGGAAAAGCAAGCCACGGCUAACUACGUGCCAGCAGCCGCGGUAAUACGUAGGUGGCAAGCGUUGUCCGGAAUUAUUGGGCGUAAAGCGCGCGCAGGCGGCUUCCUAAGUCCAUCUUAAAAGUGCGGGGCUUAACCCCGUGAUGGGAUGGAAACUGGGAAGCUGGAGUAUCGGAGAGGAAAGUGGAAUUCCUAGUGUAGCGGUGAAAUGCGUAGAGAUUAGGAAGAACACCGGUGGCGAAGGCGACUUUCUGGACGAAAACUGACGCUGAGGCGCGAAAGCGUGGGGAGCAAACAGG